AAUAUGUACUUAUAAGCAAACAAAUUUAUAUUAUUUACAGUUUAGAUAGUAUUUACAGUUUUUCCAAGCACAAUUAUUUACACAUUAACAAUUAUUUACAAAAUCAUCAAGCGCCGUGACCUUCGACGUGUCCCCCUUCUCUUGCAACACAAAGCAUUGUUCGCCUGUGCAUAUCUCGAACUGCCCGUGUAACGAAGGCAGGCUGCUCUCGCAAAGCGUUAAAUUCUCGGAUGAUUUUUUGGCGCAACUCGUCAAUAUCGCGCGGUGGACUUGAGAAUACCUUAUCUUUAAUAUACCCCCACAAAAAGAAGUCGCAUGGUGUCAAGUCCGGUGACCUAGGUGGCCAUUCAACAUUAUGACCCAGCCCAAUGACACGGUUGUUCCCAAACACAGCAUUCAGCCGAUCUCUGACUGCGAUCAGGCGAUGUGCAGGCGCGCCGUCUUGAGCCCACCAUAGACCCCGAAACAUUUCCUCCCAAUGCUGAUUAUUAAAACGUUCAGCUAGUUGCGGGAAGACAAAUUCAUUGAACAUUCGGAGAUAGGCGAUUCCGUUUACAUUCUGUUCGGAAAAGUAAGGCCCAAAAAUCAUUCCGUUACCACAAAGCGCUGCCCAGACAGACCGUCAGAUGCUCACGAGAAUGGCUCCUUUCAAAAUUAAACGCAGGCGGGUGUCCUUUAGGCGCAUACUGUCGUACGUUUUGGGUGUUGACUUCGCCAUUCAUUACAAAUGAUGCUUCGUCUCCGAUAAGGAAACUAUCCAAGAAAUUUUCUCGGCGGCAGCGUUCGUUAAGCCAAACGGAAAAGCGUAAUCGACGGGCAAAGUCGGCUGGCAACAAUUCGUGUCGUACAUGCAUUCGAUAUGGGUGCCAUUUUAUGUCCUGCCUUGUUAUGCGGUUAAAGCUUGCACGAGAAAUUGGAAUAGGGUUGCGACGAGCACUCACGUGAGGGUUUUCCUGCAGUAUAUCCCUAACAGCGUCAAUGUUUUCUGCAGUUCGAGUAGUUCUUCUUCUGCCGGAAUUGCCUUUAUUGAGGUUUAGACUGGUUCCGGAGUUUUCGUAUUUCCUUACGUUUUCCAAAAUUGUGCUUGCCGCAGGUGGAUUGCGAUUUGGGAACCUUUCUCGAAAAGCGUUUCGCACUUGUGUCGUACUUUGUGUUCUCGUAUAAUUUAACACGACAAAAACUCUUUGUUCGGGCGUUAGUUGAACCAUUUCUCUCGAAGUGAUGACAGGAAUAAUUUGUAAUGUUCUCAUUUUUGUUAAUCCGUAAUUUCUUUUACAAUUUACGAAGCAUUUUUAAAUUCCCAUGAGCAAACAAACGUUCACUUUACAAAGAUAUUUUAAUUUUUUAAAACAAAUUAAUCACCGUGUCAAAAUCCUUUGUGUUACGGCAUUGAAAUUCGAACAAUACGUUAUUUCAAUGAUUUUGGGUUUUUUUGAGACACCCUGUAUAUAUACCUUUCAAAAUAGUGUGUAAAUCUUUAAAGAUUGGAACAACAUUUCAGAUUUUCACAAAAAAUUGUGAUUUAAAUCUUGAUUUCUACAGCAUUUUUUCAAAGAAUUUAGAUUAGGGAAAAAACAAAUCGGUCAAAUACUGUUGUUUGAUGCCUCGACUGACUGGAGUCCAACGAGCAGAUUAAUAUUAUUUGUAUACCCCAUCGCGCUCCACCAAUAAAAAUCGAAAAAAAACCGCGCGGAAAUAUAUAUCAGUGGCUAGUUGUACGAAAGCCGGACGACAGACGUCGCUGAGAGGCCCUGCAUGGAAUGGCUGCAUGGGAAUAUCGUGUUAGCAAUACAAACCCGCGCAUACACCAUUUUCAAAUAAAAAAUAUGCCCAUAAAUUGAAAACGUUUAAUACACUUUUUGCAGGCUUCAUCGAAUUCUAAUGUUUUGGAUGGGCUGUUAAAUGAAUACAUUACAUUUUCCGCUUUGCUAAGAUAUGGACACAUGUCAAGAAUUUCAAUGCACGACUUGGCUUGUCCUUCGAUAAACGUUCUCCUCGCUAGGAAUGUGUGUUCAACCAAAGAAAAAAAACGUUUUUCCAGAGACGAAGCCAACUUUACAAUUCUUAAUUAGCUCCAAAUUUCUUUUCUCUGUUGCAUUGUCAUCCAUCUUUUUCUUCUCCAGCUUAGCAAUCUUAUAGCUGCAGACCAGCUUGGUUCCCCCUGUUGCAGGUACCAUUGAUUUCUUUGGUUUGGAAUAGCGUCGCUGAUUCCUAAAAUACUGGCUCAACUGUUUUUGCACAGAUGCCUACAUGAGAAAUCAAAAUUAGAAUUAACAUUGGUUACCAUGCAUGCAAACCUAUUAUAAGCAGUUUGAGGUUUUGCGUUUGAGCCCAAAACACUGUAAGCGUUGCCGUUCUGUGCUGAAGUUUUUUUAUAAUUGGAAGAAAACAAGAGGAUGAUACAUGAGGCUGCUUAACGCUAAAUUAAAUAUCCAACCAUGCAAUGUCAAUGACCAAAAUCGUGCAUGAAACAAAGCCAUAUUAACACGCAAAAUUUAAAAAUACUUGCAUAUAAUUCAACACUAUAUACCUUUCAAAAUAGUGUGUAAAUCUUUAAAGAUUGGAACAACAUUUCAGAUUUUCAUAAAAAAAAGUGAGGUUAAAUCUAGAUUUCUACAGCAUUUUUUCAAAGAAUCUAGUGGAGAUUAGGGAAAAAAACAAAUGGGUCAAAUCAUCGUAGUUAUACGAUGGCCGGGUAGCGUUACCUACUGGACAGUGAUUGUUUCAACCCUUGUAAGCUGUGAAAAUACACUUAUAUUGAUCCCACAAAAAAAACCUAAAGGAAUAAUUAGUAAGGUUUAAUGUGUACACAUGCUAUAGUCAAUGAGCCAUUUUGGAGAAGUUGAUAAAAUAAUUAAAAUUACGAUUCGCCGGAUAGCCCUAUCUGAUCGUCAUACAACCGGUCCCAGAGAAUCACACUUCAAAAAUAUUUAAGAACGUUUGACGUUUGUAAAGCUUGUAUGAUUUCCCUAAAAAUCGUGGAUUUCUAUUCAAGGUAUAAACGGUCACUGUAGCUUCCAGAAUACACAGGGCUAUAAUGUUCGCAAAUUUUUUUGUUUGCAACCUAUUCACCCACAAUGAUGUUUUUUAAGAUUCUAAAAUUUAAUUUUGUUAGCAUAAAACAUUACAUUAACGAAUUUGCUUCAAAAAGAACGCCGUGACGCAAUGGGUUGCAAGAUCAAAGUUAAUCGUGUAAAAUAUAAUUUCAAGCAUAUUAAUAUGCGCGCCAUGUAGUUCCUUUAUAAGUUUCGUCUUGUAGUUAUUAGGAGCCAGACUGGAGCCUAUAGCCUUUGAUUGUAUACGUUUGGCCAGCUGCCUCCAUACUUGCUUUUUCGUUGACAAGUCGAGGCAUAAGAUCAUUCACUUGGCAAAAAACUACGUGCAAAUACAACUAACGUGUUUAGAUUCAAGUUUUUUCAUAAAAAGUGGUUUGAACGACCUGGCUGAUGCAUGAAAAUAUGAAAAUGUUGAAGCGACUUUUGUUUGAUUUUUGUAUUCUGUAUAUUUGGAAAGCAUUUCAUGGUUCUAUUGGAGUUUCUGGAGAUUAAAACGUCUUAAUAUAAAAUAAGCUUUCCUGUUCCACAUUCCUUUUUGCCAAGUGAAAAAACCUCAACAAUAUUGAAAAUAAGUUGACACAAUGUAAUUUAUUUAUUUACUACGAUUUAAAAGUUAUGUAAAUCACUUUCUAAUUUUUAAUACAAUUUGAUGUAUGUAUAUUCCAUAUAUGUUGAACUGAAG